GACGAACGCUGGCGGCGUGCUUAACACAUGCAAGUCGAACGGAAAGGCCCUGCUUUUGUGGGGUUCUCGAUUGGCGAACGGGUGAGUAACACGUGAGUAACCUGCCCUUGACUUUGGGAUGACUUCAGGUAACUGGGGCUAAUACCGGAUAGUAGCUCCUGCUGCAUGGUGGGGGUUGGAAAGUUUCGGCGGUUGGGGAUGGACUCGCGGCUUAUCAGCUUGUUGGUGGGGUAGUGGCUUACCAAGGCUUGGAAGGGUAGCCGGCCUGAGAGGGUGACCGGCGACAUGGCGACUGAGAUACGGCGCAGACUGGUACGGGAGGCAGCAGUGGGGAACAUUGCACAAUGGGAGGAAGUCUGAUGCAGAGACGUCGCGUGCGGGAUGCCGGCUUUCGGGUUGUGAACCGCUUUAGCUUAUGACGAAGCGGGAGUGACGGUAAUGGGUAAAGAAGCACCGGCUAACUACGUG
rnacentral:rRNA from 1 species